AACGAACGCUGGCGGCGUGGAUUAGGCAUGCAAGUCGAACGCGAAAGAGGGGGUAACUCCUCGAGUAGAGUGGCGAACGGGUGAGUAACACGUGAGAAACCUGCCUUCAGCGAGGGGGAUAACACUCCCGAACGGGGUGCUAAUACCGCAUGAGACCACGGAUUCGCAUGGAUCUGGGGUCAAAGGUGGCCUCUGCUUGCAAGCUGCCGGCUGAAGAUGGUCUCGCGUCCCAUUAGCUGGUUGGUGGGGUAAUGGCCCACCAAGGCGACGAGUGGGUAGCUGGUCUGAGGAGGAUGGUCAGCCACACUGGGACUGAGAUACGGCCCAGACUCCGUACGGGAGGCAGCAGUCGAGAGGUCUUU
rnacentral:rRNA from 1 species